AUGAACGCUGGCGGCGUGCCUAAUACAUGCAAGUCGAGCGAACAGACGAGGAGCUUGCUCCUCUGACGUUAGCGGCGGACGGGUGAGUAACACGUGGAUAACCUACCUAUAAGACUGGGAUAACUUCGGGAAACCGGAGCUAAUACCGGAUAAUAUAUUGAACCGCAUGGUUCAAUAGUGAAAGACGGUUUUGCUGUCACUUAUAGAUGGAUCCGCGCCGCAUUAGCUAGUUGGUAAGGUAACGGCUUACCAAGGCAACGAUGCGUAGCCGACCUGAGAGGGUGAUCUGCCACACUGGAACUGAGACACGGUCCAGACUCCUACGGGAGGCAGCAGUAGGGAAUCUUCCGCAAUGGGCGAAAGCCUGACGGAGCAACGCCGCGUGAGUGAUGAAGGUCUUCGGAUCGUAAAACUCUGUUAUUAGGGAAGAACAAAUGUGUAAGUAACUAUGCACGUCUUGACGGUACCUAAUCAGAAAGCCACGGCUUACUACGUG
rnacentral:rRNA from 1 species